UACGUAGGUGGCGAGCGUUGUUCGGAUUUAUUGGGCGCAAAGGGUUCGCAGGGGGUUGGACAAGUCUGAUGUGAAAUCUCAUGGCUCAACCAUGAAAUUGCAUUGGAAACUAGCCGACUAGAGUACCGGCGAGGAAAGCGGAACUCCAGAUGUAGCGGUGGAAUGCGUAGAUAUCUGGAAGAACACCGAAAGCGAAGGCAGCUUUCUGGACGGUUACUGACCCUCAGGAACGAAAGCAUGGGGAGCAAACAGGAUUAGAUACCCUGGUAGUCCAUGCCCUAAACGUUGUGAACUUGAUGUAAGGGGAUUUAGACCCCUUUGUGUCGAAGCUAACGCGAUAAGUUCACCGCCUGGGGACUACGGCCGCAAGGCUAAA
rnacentral:rRNA from 1 species